GCCCCCGUAGCUCAGCGGAUAGAGCACCGGCCUCCGGAGCCGGUGGCGGGCGUUCGAGUCGCCCCGGGGGCA
rnacentral:tRNA from 1 species